GAGUUUGAUCAUGGCUCAGGAUGAACGCUAGCGGCAGGCUUAACACAUGCAAGUCGAGGGGUAACAGGUUUUAGUUUACUAGAAUGCUGACGACCGGCGCACGGGUGAGUAACGCGUAUACAAUUUACCUUUUACAGGGGAAUAGCCUUUAGAAAUGAAGAUUAAUGCCCCAUGGUAUUAUAGAGUGGCAUCACUUUAUAAUUAAAGAUUUAUCGGUAGAAGAUGAGUAUGCGUCCUAUUAGUUAGUUGGUGAGGUAACGGCUCACCAAGACGGCGAUAGGUAGGGGUCCUGAGAGGGAGAUCCCCCACACUGGUACUGAGACACGGACCAGACUCCUACGGGAGGCAGCAGUGAGGAAUAUUGGGCAAUGGAGGCAACUCUGACCCAGCCAUGCCGCGUGCAGGAAGACGGCCUUAUGGGUUGUAAACUGCUUUUAUAGAGGAAGAAACCUUUUCACGAGUUGGAAAGCUGACGGUACUCUACGAAUAAGCACCGGCUAACUCCGUGCCAGCAGCCGCGGUAAUACGGAGGGUGCAAGCGUUAUUCGGAAUCACUGGGCGUAAAGGACACGUAGGCGGGAAGCCAAGUCUGAUGUGAAAUCCUAUGGCUUAACCAUAGAACUGCAUUGGAAACUGGUUACCUAGAGUAUGGGAGGGGGAGAUGGAAUUAGUGGUGUAGGGGUAAAAUCCGUAGAUAUCACUAGGAAUACCUAAAGCGAAGGCGAUCUCCUGGAACAAUACUGUCGCUAAGGUGUGAAAGCGUGGGGAGCAAACGGGAUUAGAUACCCCGGUAGUCCACGCCCUAAACGAUGUUCACUAGUCGUCGGGAUGCUAGUCAUCUCGGUGAUGCACUUAACAGAUUAAGUGAACCGCCUGGGGAGUACGGUCGCAAGAUUAAAACU
rnacentral:rRNA from 1 species